rnacentral:rRNA from 1 species
AACGAACGCUGGCGGCAUGCCUAACACAUGCAAGUCGAACGAGACCUUCGGGUCUAGUGGCGCACGGGUGCGUAACGCGUGGGAACCUGCCCUUAGGUUCGGAAUAACUCCCCGAAAGGGGUGCUAAUACCGGAUAAUGUCUUCGGACCAAAGAUUUAUCGCCUUUGGAUGGGCCCGCGUCGGAUUAGCUAGUUGGUAGGGUAAAAGCCUACCAAGGCGACGAUCCAUAGCUGGUCUGAGAGGAUGAUCAGCCACACUGGGACUGAGACACGGCCCAGACUCCUACGGGAGGCAGCAGUGGGGAAUAUUGGACAAUGGGCGAAAGCCUGAUCCAGCAAUGCCGCGUGAGUGAUGAAGGCCUUAGGGUUGUAAAGCUCUUUUACCCGGGAUGAUAAUGACAGUACCGGGAGAAUAAGCUCCGGCUAUCUCCGUG